rnacentral:rRNA from 1 species
GAUCAUGGCUCAGGAUGAACGCUGGCGGCGUGCUUAACACAUGCAAGUCGAGCGAAGCACUCUGCUUUGAUUCUUUCGGGAUGAAGAGCAUUGUGACUGAGCGGCGGACGGUGAGUAACGCGUGGGUAACCGUGCCUCAUACAGGGGGAGUAACAGUUAGAAAUGGCUGCUAAUACCGCAUAAGACCACAGCACCGCAUGGUGCAGGGGUAAAACUACCGGUGGU